ensembl:lncRNA
GAACCGUCUGUCUCAACUCACAGGGCUGGGUCGAACCGUCUGUCUCAACUCACAGGGCUGGGUCGAACCGUCUGUCUCAACUCACAGGGCUGGGUCGAACCGUCUGUCUCAACUCACAGGGCUGGGUCGAACCGUCUGUCUCAACUCACAGGGCUGGGGCUGGGGGCUGUCUCAACUCACAGGGCUGGUCGAACCGUCUGUCUCAACUCACAGGGCUGGGGUGAACUGUCUCAACUCACAGGGCUGGGGUGAACUGUCUCAACUCACAGGGCUGGGUGAACUGUCUCAACUCACAGGGCUGGUCGAACCGUCUGUCUCAACUCACAGGGCUUUGUUUUCUCUUUUAAGUGGGACUUGACUGUUGGUUGUCCACAACCUGUCUGGACCACAGGAGUGGUGGGAGGCUUUAGACUGACAGUCAUGCGGUGUUUUUUGUUGUAAAGACCAAUCAGAGUUUUGAAAACAAAACUUUGGAAGACCACUUGAACAACCAAUGGGCUGAGAGAUUGGAGACUAGGGGGAGGGGGGCGUGGUCUAAGCUGGAGAUGUGAUUCGCCGGUGCCCCGUCGACACUAUUUAAUUUGUUUGUUCUUUUUUUUUGUAUUACAAACUUUAUGGAUUUAAACAAGGAAACACAACAUUUCGUUCUAAUGGCAUAUUUAAAACAAUAUAUGAGAGAGAAACAACCCCCCUUCUUUCUCUUGUCUCUCCAUCCUCUCCUCCCUCCAUCCUCCCCUCCAUCCUCUCCUCUCUCCAUCCUCUCCUCCCUCCAUCCUCUCCUCUCUCCAUCCUCUCCUCCCUCCAUCCUCUCCUCCCUCCAUCCUCCCCUCCAUCCUCUCCUCCCUCCAUCCUCUCCUCUCUCCAUCCUCUCCUCUCUCCAUCCUCUCCUCCCUCCAUCCUCUCCUCUCUCCAUCCUCUCCUCUCUCCAUCCUCUCCUCCCUCCAUCCUCUCCUCUCUCCAUCCUCUCCUCCCUCCAUCCUCUCCUCUCUCCAUCCUCUCCUCCCUCCAUCUCUCCUCCUCCAUCCAUCUCCUCCCUCCAUCCUCUCCUCCCUCCAUCCUCCUCCCUCCAUCCUCUCCUCCC